rnacentral:rRNA from 1 species
UACGAAGGGGGCUAGCGUUGCUCGGAAUCACUGGGCGUAAAGGGUGCGUAGGCGGGUCUUUUAAGUCAGGGGUGAAAUCCUGGAGCUCAACUCCAGAACUGCCUUUGAUACUGAAGAUCUUGAGUUCGGGAGAGGUGAGUGGAACUGCGAGUGUAGAGGUGAAAUUCGUAGAUAUUAGGAAGAACACCAGUGGCGAAGGCGGCCAACUGGCCCGAUACUGACGCUCAUGUGCGAAAGCGUGGGGAGCAAACAGG